rnacentral:lncRNA from 1 species
GGCAAAUUUUGACUUGUUAGAGAUCUUGACUUGCUGAUAAUUUUUGUGAUUUAAAGUGUCUAUUUAUCUAUUAUAAUUUUUAUCAUGUAAGGCAAAACGCAAAACGCAAAAAAAAAAAAAAAUGGUAAAAACCGCAUUAAAGGGCCAUAACUCCAAUAAGGAGUCGUCGGACGGUUCCUCCAAAUUGUCUUAAUUGUAGAUCUUGUCUUGCUG